GACGAACGCUGGCGGCGUGCCUAAUACAUGCAAGUAGAACGCUGAAACUUGGUGCUUGCACCGAGCGGAUGAGUUGCGAACGGGUGAGUAACGCGUAGGUAACCUGCCUGGUAGCGGGGGAUAACUAUUGGAAACGAUAGCUAAUACCGCAUAAGAGUAGAUGUUGCAUGACAUUUGCUUAAAAGGUGCAAUUGCACCACUACCAGAUGGACCUGCGUUGUAUUAGCUAGUUGGUGGGGUAACGGCCCACCAAGGCGACGAUACAUAGCCGACCUGAGAGGGUGAUCGGCCACACUGGGACUGAGACACGGCCCAGACUCCUACGGGAGGCAGCAGUAGGGAAUCUUCGGCAAUGGACGGAAGUCUGACCGAGCAACGCCGCGUGAGUGAAGAAGGUUUUCGGAUCGUAAAGCUCUGUUGUAAGAGAAGAACGAGUGUGAGAGUGGAAAGUUCACACUGUGACGGUAUCUUACCAGAAAGGGACGGCUAACUACGUG
rnacentral:rRNA from 1 species